ensembl:antisense Gm10863 predicted gene 10863
GGCCUCAGAACCGCCCGGAGAGAAGCCGCCUUGGAUGGACAGAGGGACGGAGCAGCAAGCAUCCGGCCUCCCCGGCUUCCCUGCAGCGGUCUCCAACUGCUGUCUGCCCGCUGCCCGCCUGCCUGGCAUCUCUCUCCCGACAAUCUAUAAGGUGCUAGCUGCAUUCCUGGCCUGGGAGCAGGGAGCCUGUCUGACCCCUGUGUCACACUGGAUGGUUUUACAGAGGUGCCCCACCUGAUGCUGGAUGGAAGUCAUCACCCUACAGUGUGGGUAUCAAGGGGGGAGCAAGGGGGCUAGGAAGCUCCAGAGGGAUUAGGUGGUCUCCAGUCACUCCCCUCUGUGUGAACCCUGCUGCUCUUCCACUCUGGAGCUGGAAAGCUGUCAGCUGCCACGCCAUGGUGCCAAGCACAUAGUAGGACUUCAAG